rnacentral:lncRNA from 1 species
GAUCCAGGCGGCCACCUGUAGAACGCCGGGACUCCCAUCUCUCGGAACCUCCCGACCAGAUCCCUCUCCUCUCUCGCCUCCCCUCCUCGGGGGGCGGCGCUUGCCGCGGGCUUGUGGCGGUGGCGGCGGUGGCUCCCCUCUUCUUCUCUCUCUGCUUCGAUCUGGAUAGGAAGGGGACAGGAGGUCUGCGGGGGUGAGGAAGACAAAGGUAACGGGACAGUUUUUUUUUCAUUUAAUGAAGGACUGCGGGUUAAUUUCGACAAAACACAGGGGUUUUCUGUAAAAUUGCCACGAC